UAGUCCACGCCGUAAACGAUGAUCACUCGCUGUUGGCGAUACACAGUCAGUGGCUAAGCGAAAGUUUUAAGUGAUCCACCUGGGGAGUACGAUCGCAAGAUUGAAACUCAAAGGAAUUGACGGGGGCCCGCACAAGCGGAGGAACAUGUGGUUUAAUUCGAUGAUACGCGAGGAACCUUACCUAGGCUCGAACACCUACUGACAACCCCUGAAAGGGGGUCUCUCUUCGGAGCAGUUUGUGAGGUGCUGCAUGGUUGUCGUCAGCUCGUGCCGUGAGGUGUUGGGUUAAGUCCCGCAACGAGCGCAACCCCUAUUCUUAGUUGCCAUCAGUUCGGCUGGGGACUCUAAGAAGACUGCCUACGCAAGUAGAGAGGAAGGUGGGGACGACGUCAAAUCAUCAUGGCCCUUACGCCCAGGGGCUACACACGUGCUACAAUGGACGGUACAGAGGGUUGCGACACAGCGAUGUGAAGCUAAUCU
rnacentral:rRNA from 1 species